rnacentral:rRNA from 1 species
GGACGAACGCUGGCGGCGUGCUUAACACAUGCAAGUCGAACGGAAAGGCCCCUUUGGGGGUACUCGAGUGGCGAACGGGUGAGUAACACGUGAGUAACCUGCCCUUGACUUCGGGAUAACUUCAGGAAACUGGGGCUAAUACCGGAUAGGAAUCCUUGCUGCAUGGUGGGGGUUGGAAAGCUUCGGCGGUUUUGGAUGGACUCGCGGCUUAUCAGCUUGUUGGUGGGGUAGUGGCUUACCAAGGCUUUGACGGGUAGCCGGCCUGAGAGGGCGACCGGCCACAUUGGGACUGAGAUACGGCCCAGACUCCUACGGGAGGCAGCAGUGGGGAAUAUUGCACAAUGGGCGGAAGCCUGAUGCAGCAACGCCGCGGGCGGGAUGACGGCCUUCGGGUUGUAAACCGCUUUCAGCAGGGGCGAAGCUUGUGGUGACGGUACCUGCAGAAGAAGCACCGGCUAACUACGUG